UCUAUCUCUUAUCUGUUUGAUCCAGAGGAAAGUAUUGACAAAGGAUCAGUGAACUGGAGUUUAGAAUUUAUGUUCCAAUUGUUACAGAAAAAAAAACAGUUAAUGUAUGUAUUUUGUCAAAAUAAUAUAUAGUAAUCAUUUACUAUUAUGAUAAAGUAUCACAAUUGUUUUAUAUAUUUGCGUGUGUGUAGAUAAGCAUCCGAUUAUAUGUGUUUGUGAUUAUUUACGUAUGCUUGCUGAAGUUUUCUAUACAGAAGUCUAAAGUGAUAAUUUUAAGAAGAAUACACUUUCUUAAGUACACAUUCUGGUAGCUGAACCUGUUAGCAAAGGAAAUGGUAUUCACUUUCCAGAACACUUCCCUAUCCUAUCUCCCUGCCAUGUAGACUGCUUGGGAAAUGUUUUGAUGAGCGUUGCAAUCUGCAUUCUUUGUGCCUUUAUCAAGGGUGUCACUAGAGAAUAUUGCGUAGUGUCCUAUCCUCUGACAGUUGAGAAUGUUUCACCUUUUUGAGUGUCAUCAGAAAGCAGUCAUUCUUCCUGGGGGAAUCCCUUCACGUUCCUUUUUUAGUCAGCACUACUCUGUUUACAGAGUUGACGAGGGUACUUUACUUGGUCUUUGCUCACUCUCAGUUGCUGCUUUUUUUUUUUUUUUUUUAGUCAGAUGGGAAUUUUAGUAGUCUCUAGCAAAAUUAAUCUGCAUCCCUAUGUUUAAGUAUAUAUAUGCCCUUUUUAAAGACAGCAUAUAUGUUCAUCAAUAAAGAACAGAUCCAUACAUUCAUUCUUUGCUUGCUUCCUCAGGCAAUCUUAGUAGAAAUGGCAUAAUUGUCUUAUCUACUUUGACUUAUUUUUCCAUCCUGAUUGCUUAUCACCAGGAUUUCUAAUAUGCGGAAGUUUCUAGUGAAUUUACUUCAAAUCUUGCUGAUCCUGUUCUGCACAUGUUGUGUUCUGUCUUCCUCCAUCCUUCCUUCUUCUCUACUUUAAGUAUAAUCAGAUUUCUUAAGCAAGCUUUUUGCUGCUCAUAGCUGUUCUCCUCGUUUCUCUGUGCACUGUUGUUUGGUUUCAUCCAUAGUUCCCUAAACUACCCUUUUACCUGUGGUAGUGGGCACCAAAGUUGGAGUAGUCGGUUUCAGCUUUAAAUGUGCUUAUACUCUGUGGUACUAUUUGGCACUCUAACCCCACUUUCUUAAGUUUUUCCCUCCUAGUUUCUGAUACUUUCCUUAGAUUUCUCCUUCCUUUCUUUUUAAUUGCCCUUCCCCUUUCACAUUCUGCUUGUGUUUGGCAGACUUUAUUCAUACAACUUAGUUAUCUUUAGUGCUUUUGUUAACUUCUCUAGCUCAGAACUUUACCAAAAGACCCAGACUAGGAAUCUAACCAAUCAUUGUACACUUUCAAACUUAGACUGUUCUCAUUGCAACUUGCAGUUCCUAGUGUUCCCUGUGUCUCAUAGUCCAAUAUGCCAGUNUCAUUGUUCUUAACAAGCCAGAAAACUUGGAGUCAUUACUCCUUCCUUCCAUCCUGUUUUCAGACAUUGAUUCUGAUUCCUGAAUUCCUAUUUGUCUGUCCUUUGGCUGUUACCACCCUAGUUAAACAGGUAUUACUCAAAGUUUUUCUCUCAUUUUUUUAAACUUAUGUUAGUAUAAAAAUAACAUAUUUGUAGCUAUAGUUUACUUAGUGCUGAUGCUAAUAGAAUGUUUUGUGUGUUUACAAACAAGUAAUGCUGUGUAUUUUCUCUAUUUAGUUUUAGUUAAACAUAUGGGCUUCAUUAUAAUAUUUAUACCUUUAUAUAAUAUAUUUUAAUCACACCCAUGCUUGUUAAUUAUCCUUUCUUUUUCUCCUACCAUUCCUGUUGAUCUCUUUCCAGGAACAUUUUGAGAUUAUUACAGGAGCAACAACAGUCUCAGUUACUUUUUCAUUGUUAUGAACAGAUAGCACAACCAAGGCAACUUAUAGAAAACUUUAUUGGAGGCCAUAUUCUUAUCCUUUCCAACAGUUGGGGAUCAAGUAUUCAAACAUGAGCCUAUGAAAGCCAUUCUCACUUAAACUACCCAGAGGUCCAAUUUACUAGUACCUACAUUACUGAAGAAAAUGUCUCUCCCUAGUAAUUAUAAGGGCCUGUAGAUUCUCACUAGCCUCCUCUUUCUGGUUAAUGGAACGUUGGCAGGCCUAGUCUUGUACAGAUCUUGCGCAGGUAAUUACAGAUGCUAAGCACUCGAGUGCAGCAUGUCAUGCCCAGAAGACAGUUUGAAUAACACUCUACUUUCCUUGGCUCUCUCUGUUAUGGUCCCUCAGCCUUUGAGAGAGUGAUACAGUUUCGUUUCUUAGAACUGAGCACUUGUGUCUCCUUAGUUAACUACUGCUUGCUGCCAAAAGAAGCUUCUCUAAGCCAGAGGUGGCAAGUUUCAAGAACAGCAUGGUCAUUUGAGACUAGUAGACCAUGUGACACAAAGUCAUUUCAUGCAGAAUGAGCUACUUGUCCUUGAUCAGCAGUGCAUAGAAGUUUUCUGAUGUGAGCCAUCAGGACAUCCUCUGACGUCAGGGUCAUGGUACUUGGCUGAAAUCCAUUCCUUCGGGAUCUUAGGUCGUUCCCAGUGGGUUUUUUACUUUGGUUUUGUUGUUUGUUUUUCAGACUACAUGAGGAUUUCAAUUUAGACAUACUACUUGCUUUCUCAGUGUCCUUCAGUGACUAUCUUUUGUCCUUAGGAUAAAGUCUGUAUUCAUCAACGUGGUUUAGGAGAUUAAAUGUUUGUCUGUUUCUUAAGUCUCAUUUCAUGACUCCUUUUUCAUUUGAGUCAAACUUCUUUAAAUACUUUGUAGGUGCGCUUUCUCUGAUCUUUGAGGUUUACAGUGUGCUAUUUUAUUGGUUUGUAUUGCUUUCCUCUUCACUUACUUUUACUUUUUCCUUUAAUCAAAUUCCAGUUUAGAAAAUUCUUCACGCAGAACUCCACUUUGUACUUUGAAUUAGAAUGGUUUUAUAUAAUUAUUUCUUAGAUAACUGUUGUCUGUUAGUCUGAGUAAAUACUGUGUCUGCUUUGUUCUAUACUACAUCUGUUGAGCAUUGACAUUUGAGGUGAUAAACUGAAGCCAUAACAAUCCUAACUAUCAUAAAGUAAAGGUCUUCAUAUUUUUGUAAGAAAACUCAUGCAGUAUACUGACAAACCAAAGAAACUCUUUCCUUGUCUUCUCAAUAACAAUUUUAACAUUGGAAUGUGUAAAGCUAAUUGAAGCAUGUAAAUAGCCCAGUUUUAAAGGUUAUUUUUUUGCAGCAGAGUUAUAACUACAACGCGUGAGUAGCCAA
ensembl:sense_intronic